GAAAAAUGGUCCUUAAUUUGAUCCGACUUCAAUUUCCCUGCAGAAACAACUAGAGUCGUGUCACCAACCAUUUUAACCUAUAGAACAAGAUUCCAUGGUCCACUCUUUUUAAGUGAUUGGGCCCCCCACAUACAAAUAUUAAAUUAGAGCUGCCCCUCACCCUCACUAUGCUCUAGGUUUUUGUACAUAUAGAAAUUAUCACCACA
rnacentral:lncRNA from 1 species